UUUCAUAAGUGAAAUCUAUAAAUUCAGCAUAGCUUGUAUUUUGUGUCAUGACCACCUAUUCGUUACUAACUUCUGUCAAGUUUUUGUGGUGAUGAGAGUGGCUUCCAUUGAUGUAGAUUCCACUUGUGUCUAUGGAGGAGUAUUCAAAUCUUUUCCAAUAACAGCAAAUAAAUAUUUUGCCUUUGUUUCAUCUUGUACUCUACAAACAUCCAAGUCCUUAAUGAUGAUACAAAAACAUAGGUCUUCUACUGACCAGCUAGAAGCUGAUGUCAGAGGUACAUUCCUCACAAGUACUUCCUGUAAUGGAAUGAAGUCUCAUCCUAAAAUGUAAAACAGCAAAUUCUUCUGUUAUUUUCAUAAUUGUAUCCUUUCUCUCUGAAAGGAGAAGGUAGAUGAAGAAGAUCCCAGCAAAAACAAGGAAGCAGGAAGAAUGAAGGUUUUCCUGGAAAUAAACCAGAGAAAGAUAAAAUAUUUUCUUUUGAUUCUCCUUGAUUCUCCUUGAAUCACUGAUCAUGAUUUCAUUGACUAGAAAUCUAACCACUACAAUACUGAUGAAAGAGUGUAAACAAUUGAGUAUAUCGCAUUCAAAACAUUAGUGACCAGUCAUUAACAUUAGAGGUUAGUUGCUUACCAUGAUAAACAGGAAAAGCAUUUCAAAACCAAGGAAUCCUGUCCAUCUGAAACAUCCUUCAGUCACAGCACCUGAUGAUCGAGGUGUCUGAUUGAAGACUCCCCCCAAAGAUGGACUUGGUGACCCAUAUGAAGAGGACACAAACAUGAAGAUGCACAGAGCAUGCUGGAUGAUUCUAUUAUCAGUUUCCUAGUUUUUCUUGAUUUCGUGUUUUAUAAUGAUUCUAUCACAUUUGCGGGACUAAAUACUUAAUGUUAGUGUUAAAUUUCCUGGUUUCAUCAUACUUGUGUAAAUGAAUUGAAGUCUUCAGACUUAUUGAAUGGAAUUACACUCACUAGUCCACUUCAAAACUUGUGUAGAGCCCCAUCAGUCUCCCUGUGACAGUCAAGUACUGUGUGCCACCACUGCUUUUGAGUAAAAGAUAGGCAGAAUUAAUUAAAAAUAAUUUGUUUCUUGCAGAAGUGAGAGAAAGAGAGAGGCCUUGGCAUGGGUUAAAACAACAUGCAAACAUUAAUACUGGUGGGUUAAUCAUGCACUAUCUGGUUUAUCAGUAACUGUGAGCUGUACAGCAGUAGCAAGCAUUUGGGAGAAUGGAUCUUCUUGGGUUUUGCACAUUGGUUUUGUAGAACCUGGGAGAAUGAACGCUUGGAAUUGAAAGAUUCUUUCAGGUAGAUGAGAACUGAUGAAACUACCAGGACAGCAAUAAAGAUGAGGAAGCAAAAAGGACCAAGAGUCAUCUGGAGAUAAAAAUAGAGUAAGAUGAGUGACUUCCCUGGCAACACUUGCCCCUGUAGAUUCUUGCAAAUUGUUGAUUUGUCUCCAAGAAAUGAGAAAUACAUUUAUUUUAUCUUUUCAGUCUAUUCUUAAGGCAGCAGAGGCUGUCAGAACUCCAGAUACGUGUUUUAUAUGAAUGGUCUACAAGCGUUAGUGGUAACUAAAAUUCACAGCUUUGGUCAUCUACAAGAAUUUCAUCUUAAUUCCUGUUCAGACAAGCCUAGAAAAACAGUUUAACUUCAGAGAGUCAAAGAGAAAAUUUAAAUCAAAUUACAUACAACAGCAAAGGGGAAAAUCAUUCCGGUGAAAGUGAGGCCAAGCCAAAUGAGGAUUCCACCUAUUACAAAUGCAGAAGACCGUGCUGAGAGGGUGAAGAUUUCAUUCAUGACAGAUGAAACGGCUCCAGCUGGGGAAAAAAAACAACAACAUAAGAAGCAAUCAGAAACACUGCUGUGUGUUCUGUGGAGUUUGGGUUAAAUGCCCUUCUCAAAGGGAAUAAAUUGUUGUCACUCAACAAACACUGCGCCAGUAAAGUCAGACUACCACGAGAUCACAUAAAUCUGGGUAGCACAACCACCUCUAUCAGCAUUCACCUACCAGCUUCUAUAGACUAUGGAGAGAGAUGGACAUCCCUGAAAUGUAGUUUCUCUUCACCUAGGAUGUAUGAAAUAUGAAAGUGAAUGGUUCUAAUGGCCUGUUUCUCCCCUUUGCCUGUGAGUGCCAACUGGGUUAUGCUACCAUGGCAAUUCUGUUAGGUUUUAAAGGCAUCUGUAGCCUUUAGUAGCCUCUAGUCUUUCCAUGGCCUGUGUGUACCCCUGUGGUCUAAGUUUUGCUGUUGCUGCUUAUACCGUUAUACUCACCUGGUCCUACUCCAUAGGCAAUGAUGAAUAAAAAGAUAAGAAUAACAUUGCAGUAACGCAUCCAAAGGAACCGAUCCUAGACAAAGGCAGAAGGAGGGGUGAGAAUGACAAUUUCAGAGCUGUAGCACAGCUGAUCCAAACAUAAUGGAGAAGAGAUGCUGAUGAAAAAGCCCCCAAUGCUGAGGAACAGAUUCUCACUAGAACUACUUAUGUUUCUAUACUGAAAGCAGCAGAAGGCCAAAAGUAACCUGCAAUGUCACACCUACAGAAGUGAAAUGUACCUUGCUCCGAAAAAUAAGAAAUGAAUUCCAAGCUAGCUAUAGCAUGGGGAAAAGUGUAACUGAUUCAACCUAAUUGUCUUUUCCAAUUAGACAGUUUCAGAGAAAUGUUUAAAACCUGUGAAUCAGAAGAUGGUGUGUGAACAGAAAGGAGGCAAUAGUUUGUGGGCUGAGAUGAAGAUUGAAAUGCAGUGUCAACACUGGCAAGUCUCAAGCUGUGCCACUGGGUUCCUCUCUCCUUUCCACCACCCAUCUUGGGUUAGCCAGAGAGCUGCACUGUGUGUGUGCAGCUGGAUCAUGUACAUAAAGGCUGGAAACUGGUAGUGGUAGGAAGUACACACUGCUUCUGUCACAGGGCACAAGGGAUAGCAACCGGGAAAGGUGACAACAGAGAUGUUAUCUAGAGUUUUUUGGGGGCAGCAAAAUGACACAGGAAAGACUCAGAGAGAUCAGGCAGACAGAGCUGGAGGGAAGCUAUGCCUGACCGAUAGUUUUACAAUAUAUUUUUUGUUGGCUGUUUGAAAGAUUAGUUAAAGAAGAUGAAAUACAAGACAUGACAGAGAUAUAGGCCUUGCAAGAGGGGCUGUAAGUUUGUGUUCAGAAUAUAUUCUGACCUGCUCUUUUGGACGUCAGAACUAAGGCUGACUAUGUGCUGUCCUGCACAAAGAUUUCUGAUGCAGGUCCACCCCUAGAGAGACAUUUGCUUACACUCAGUAGAAGGCUUGUUUCAAGCAACACCAGUACCAGUGCCAUCAACAAAUAACCACCCCACAGGAGUAUUCGGCGUCCAAAACGAUCAAUAAUGGAGCUCUGAGAAGCAAAGAAAAAACAUAUAUCACUGGGCACGGCCAAGUCUAGCUGUGAGCCUUCUAACAGUUUAGAUAUUCUUCUUCAAUUCUCUUUACUUAAGAAAACACAAAUCAUGUUAGUAGCAAGUUAGUUAUUUUAUGGAAUUCCUUCUGGUCUCUCCAAUGCCAUGAAUUACACUUGCUGCCCAAACUCUGCAGCAGCUUUUUCAUCAACACUGUAAUCAAUGGAAGCACGUUAAGAUUCCAUUCAAAUAAAGAAUGAGAUACAUCAAUGAAUGGAAGUAAGCGUGCAUCUUUAACUUUGAAUGAUAUUUCAUUUAUAUUUAUAUGAAUAAGAUAAGGAUUUUUAUAAGAAAUUAUAAAGAAUGAAGAUGGGAAGGAACAUGUAAAAGAUGGGAAGAAACUUGGCAGAGACAUUAACAACCACUUCACAGGUUUAUGUGAUGCCACAGGAAAUAUCUUAAACUCACUAAGAAGAGAUAAGAAAGUAAAGAAAUAUAGACUUAAAUCACAUGAGGAAGAAUAGAUCCAAAUCAGUCUUAAAGUCCCAGCACGAUCUGACUUACACAGAAGAUGACGGAGAUGAGCUCAGAGACUGCAACUCCUAGAGCUACAUAUGGGAUGAUGCUUUCAUGGAGGUUGGCUGUCUGAAAAAUUUCCGAUGUGUAGAAAGUGAUCUGGGAAAUAAGAAGCAUUGUAAAAAUGAAGCAUAGUCAAUGGAUGCAGUAUGUUCUUAUCCUGCAUCACUUAGACCUAGAUUUGUCAUCACUGCGAUAGCAAUAGUAUAAUACUGGGGCUUAUUGGAGGUGAUGUAAUAGUUUAUUAUGUGGCCUUUUUGCAAUUAUUCAGAAGAAGAUGCACCUUUCCCCUGUCAACAAUGGACAGAAAUAACUCUGCCCACAUUGCCAGGCAGUGCCAUAACAGAGAGCCCAGCAAUGUCACAGUCCAGCAAUAUCACAGUAAAUACAGCUUACACUGAAAGACUCACAAGGAAAGUGAUAGAAAUGACACCUUGGGGAAUGCCUUUUACUGUACUGGGCUCAGCCACCUUAUAUGCACAAACAACUGAGAGGAAAUAUCUUAAUGGAUUAAUCUGCAUUACGAAAUGGGAUGAAAACUGAAUGGCAAUAGCUCAUCUGCUACUGUAAAGGUCAAAGAAAAUGAAUCUGUGGACUGCAGAAAUCUUCAGUGUAUUUAUAACCAUACAGAAUAUUUGGAGUUAUAAACAGGAGAAUGAAAGCAAGAAUUUCUGCUGAACUGGAUCUUUUGUAUUCCCAGCUUGGAAGUUCCCAUAAAGGUAUGAAGAAUACUGGUGGUGAUACAACAGGGCUUGCAGAGGAAAGUGGCAAGUUGGAAUUACAGUGAUUUGGUUGGAUAUGGGCUGUACUCAACUGCACUCAGGCCACAGAGCUGUAGACUCAGUAGAAGCAGGAGCAUGGUACACAGCUGUGGAUGCACAGAUGGUUCUUUCAGCACCUCUCGGACAUUCAUUAUUUUGGUGCCUUUUGUUACAGCCUUUUCCUUCACCAUGUCAUCAAAUUCUGUGCGAUAAUUCUCCUCUCCCCAGAGUUGCUUCAUGGCUAUAGAAGGGACAGAACGAUGCAUAUUCUUCCAUCAUCCAAUGUACUGAUCACUUACAGUUGAGUUCAUGCCUCGAUUCAUCAGUCACUGAGAACAGAACUAGAACAUUACUUACUGGAACCUGCUGAGACUCUCCUGGAAAAUGGCUUUCAACUUUUGUACUGUAUAAGGAUAGACCUUAAAUAAUUCUGACAAAUCCUCUUUUUCUUGAGCAGUAUAAUUCUAUGCUAUGAUCUUUGCAAUAUCUUUCAUUAUAUCUUAUGAGGAAAUCUGAAGCUGUCCAGUAAAAAAACAAUUACCUCUAUUCAGUUCGAUUUCCCAGGAGUUACAGUCUAAUAAAUUAGGGAUCAAAAAUUUUUCCUUACCUUUCAGGCAACCAUCCUUGUCUCCUUUUUGCAGAAAGAGAUACGGAGGAGACUCAGGAAAGAAGGGCAAAAAGAGCAGUUGGAUCAAUGCCACAAAGCCAGAAAAGGACAAUAGCACAUUCCACAUGUCUUCAGUUCCUAAAAGAUCUCUGUGAAGGCACACAAGAGUGGGUUUAUAGCCCAGUACAAUUACUUUUUAUAACUAGUUUGGUAUUUUCUGGAUCCUAGACUGGCAAACUAUAUACACAUAUAACUGUAAAGAAUAAAUUGAAAUAAAAUAUAUUUAGACUAGGGAAAGGAAAAAAGCCUGGUAUCUUAGUUCCACUGCAAGACUGAGAUUUUUCUCAUAAUUUGAGGAACAUCAGUGGAGCUUCAAUAUUCUCACAGCAGAUCUCUGAACAAAUACAGUAAUUCUGCUUGAGGAUAUCAAGAACUCAGCAGAGCUCUCAGGUCUCAUGGGCCUAUUAAGCUUAAAUAUACAUCUAUAAUUUGUUCUUAUUAACUUCAGCAGAGAGACUGCACCUUCACAGAUGGAUUUAAUCCUUCCUCGAGAAAUGUCUUCUUCUCCUCAGUGACUGACAAGGGAACCUCAGUGACUGGCAUGGGGCAGACAUUUCCAUUUUGUCAGCAAUAGUUAAGUGAAGAACAACCCCACCUUCUGUGUGUGUCUGUUUCUAGGACUGGAUUUUCCUGCCACACAGAAGACAAAUAGAAAAUAGGACCAGAAGGAGCAGCACAAGUACCGUAAUCCAAGAACUCUUGCUACAGCUUUUCCUAGUGCAAGAAACACAGAGGAGGUCACAUUUACAAAGCCACGCAACUUCUUAGGUGAGAUCUCUCCUGCAUACUGAAUAUGGGCAUUCAUAUAUACUCCUAAAAAGAAGACAAAGGAGAACUGAAGUGAUAGAAAACAAGAGUCCGUUUUUAUUUCACCUGCUCCACAAUAAGUACUGUGAAAAUGUACUUCCUACUUAGCUAAUCCAUCUGAUAUCUUUCUCAGUAAGAGUUCUUGAAGGCAAAGGACAUCUCAUCAUUAUAAUGUCCCUGCCCAGUGAACACACUGCACUUUGCAAUAGGCUUGAGCAGUCUGCUGCCUCAACAUGAGGUGUGAUCUUACCUUUUCCCAAUCUGUUCCUUGUUCCACUGGGGUUACCGUGCAUGCCUGGGUACUCCUAGCAGGAAGAUUUCUGUAUCCACCCCUAAGAAUUCACAUUAACAUGGAGUAAUGGGGAGUCCUACCAGCACAGAUGCCCUCGAGGAAGCGCCCAAUCAGGAUCAUCUCAAAGGACUUGGCUCUCCUACUGAAGCCAGUGUUCAGUGUGGCUAUUAUUAGGACCACAUCAUUGAUGAGAAGACAUUUCUUCCUACGACAGCAAACAACAUGUUGCAAAGGCUGCUUGAUUCCCUAUGCUGUAACCUUCAAACAUUCUGCGGCCGUCAGUGACGGGGCUAGAAGACAAGAUGUUGGAUACUCACCAGCUCUGAAAGGAAACCAGCC